UCCUGACAUUGUCUUCAAAUACUUCUUUGAGACAAUUUGAUUUUUGUCACCGAUAUGGCAUAUCUACGGGCGUGUCUUACAGAUUGCCUGCUAUACAAUUUGAUUGUUGACAAAAUUCACUAGCCGCGAACCAGUCAGCACAAUUUUUUUAUUGAGAAAUUUAAAGUUUUUAUUUCUUUUUUCUUGUGUAUCAAAUCUGACCGGCUGGGCUCGAACGAUCUUGCUCACCUAUGGAGCUUGAUAACAACAAUUAUUUUGUUGGUUAUGUCCUGAAUAUCGGAUAGAUUUAUGAAGGGUCUUGACUUUCAGUACUCGAAAUUAUGAGAAAUCAAAGGUGCAUGCCCAACUUUCCGAGAGUGUUGUUUUUUGCCAAUCCCAACGCCAAACUAAUGCUCCAAGAUAGGACGAAGUUGAUAUUUUUUUUAGAUAUUUUAUUCGUAUUCUUUGUAAACAGUUUACAUUAAAUGGUAUGUUAUCCUAAA